rnacentral:sRNA from 1 species
AGCCUGAGCAACAGAGUGAGACUCCGUCUUAAAAAAAAAAAAAAAAAGAAUUUCAGACUCCACCCAGACCUACUGAACUAGAAUCUGCAUUUCAACAAGAUCCCCAGGUGAUUUGAUUGCACAUUAAAACUUGAAAGCUGUGACAUACAGGAGUAGUAGACUCACUGCCAUCCCUCUAAAAUAGAUCAGUAGUAAAGAGUUUGGAGAAUCUACAUUAUUCUUUAGAAGGAAGAACUAUGAAAAACUGGUUUUCGUUUUAGAGCUUAGGAGGAAAAUGGGUACUUAGUACCAUUAUUAAACUCUGGGUAAGAAAAUUUUGAAAUAAGCAUGGUUAUGAGAUUAAGUUAGCUAUAGACUAUUAGGAAAUUAAAAAUAGAAAGGUACCAUCAUUUUCAUAGGAUUUACUUUUUCGUCCACUUUUUAUCCUUCUAAACUCAUCACUUAUAACCUCAAAUUUCAGUAUUAUAAAUGGCCAUAAUAACAGAAAUGCCAAGCUGCCAUGGCUAAUGCUAGGAAUACAGAAGUCACUACUUGGAUAAGUUAAAGGUUCUAAAAUGUUCAGCUUACCAGCACUUAACACUUUUCUUAGUUUUUGUUGUUGUUGUUGUUUAGUGAAGGGUGGUAAACGCUUGGAAAUACAAUUUUAUCCUUAGGUGGCUUUUGUUUUACAGAACUUCGAUAUGACCUGCCAGCAUCAUACAAGUUUCACAAAAAGAAAUCAGUGGACAUUGAAGUGGACCUAAUUCGGUUUUCCUUUUAAAAGCCCCCGCAAACAAAAGUAGUUUAAAACCUAUUUAAAAUGAAUAAAAAAUUGGUUUACUAA